rnacentral:lncRNA from 1 species
UGAUGUAUGCAUGAAAAUAUUAUAUCGAUGAAAUGUCCCCUUCAUUUGUAAAUAGCCCCACAAAAGGGAAAUUUCCAUGGCUUAACAACACUGCUUGGAAACAUAAACAAAGUGGCAAAAAUUGGCAGAAACUAUAAAAUGAAGUGAAGUGAAUUACAAAAUAUGCGGCAUUCCAAAAGUUUACGUGCGGUCAUAAAAGCGAGCUACGUAUGUUGCUACGAAGCUCUGCAAUUGUUUAUUUGUGCACAAGUUGGAGCGAUUUGCAAUGGCUUGGAUAAUAAGUGUAACCCCGCUACCUGAUCGUCCUCGCCAGCGAUAUGCUCGAAAAAGACACACCCUGCUAUUUCAAGGAUCAACGCGAAGCAAGCGCAUUUCGCUUUACCUCCAUUGCUCCAUCCAGCCUCAAUACGGUUCGUUUAAACUUACACCACUCACAGUGAAGAAGAGAAGAAGGAUGCAACCGGCAAGGAUACUAAUUCUAAUUCGGUUUCUAUAUUCCCAACAGAGAACUACGAUCCCAUCACAACGCCAUCAACUCCAGAAUCGGCAUCAAAUAAUGCAAUCGCUUUGCAGUGCAUGAAUGCAGCAGAAGCCAUUACCCCUAUCCGCUAAUGUGACGCAAUGUUAAAGUGCAGAGUACAUGUACGAAGCUCAUAUAGUUGUAAGCCAAGGCUUUUUUUCUUGUAAAUGGUUAAAAAUUCUUGUUGUUAAUACUAACAAAAAUAAAGGUAAUUUAAUUACUUUUAUGUUUGUUAUAAAUUCUUUCAAAAAAAUUAACUUGUUUUACAAAAAAAUCCAUGUUUUGUGUAUUGCCUUAUGCGAGUGCAGAGUACAUGUACGAAGUUCACAUAGUUGUAAGCCAAGGCUUUUUUUCUUGUAAAUGGUUAAAAAUUCUUGUUGUUAAUACUAACUAAAAUAAAGGUAAUUUAAUUACUUUUAUGUUUGUUAUAAAUUCUUUCAAAAAAAUUAACUUUUUUUACAAAAAAAUCCAUGUUUUGUGUAUUGCCUUAUGCGAGUGCAGAGUACAUGUACGAAGCUCACAUAGUUGUAAGCCAAGGCUUUUUUUCUUGUAAAUGGUUAAAAAUUCUUGUUGUUAAUACUAACUAAAAUAAAGGUAAUUUAAUUACUUUUAUGUUUGUUAUAAAUUCUUUCAAAAAAUUAACCUUUUUUACAAAAAAAUCCAUGUUUUGUGUAUUGCCUUAUGCGAGUGCAGAGUACAUGUACAAAGUUCACAUAGUUGUAAGCCAAGGCUUUUUUUUUGUAAAUGGUUAAAAAUUCUUGUUAAUACUAAUUACAAUAAAGGUAGUCUAAUUACUUUUCUUUUAUAUAUAAAUUAUUUUAAAUAAAUUCACUUUUGUUAUAAAAAUUUUAAAGUUUUGUGUACUGCCAUAUGCGAGUGUGAAACACAAAGUUGUUAGCCGAGACUUGUUUAAAAGAAAUGUUUCAGAAUCAUGAAUGGUAACACAUUUUAAAAUAAAGGUAAUUUAAUUACCUUU